rnacentral:rRNA from 1 species
GUUAGUGGCGAACGGGUGAGUAAUAUAUCGGAACAUAUCCGGAAGUGGGGGAUAACGUAGCGAAAGUUACGCUAAUACCGCAUAUGCCCUGAGGGGGAAAGGAGGGGAUCGCAAGACCUUUCGCUUUCGGAGUGGCCGAUAUCGGAUUAGCUAGUAGGUAAGGUAAAGGCUCACCUAGGCGACGAUCCGUAGCUGGUCUGAGAGGACGACCAGCCACACUGGAACUGAGACACGGUCCAGACUCCUACGGGAGGCAGCAGUGGGGAAUUUUGGACAAUGGGCGCAAGCCUGAUCCAGCCAUACCGCGUGAGUGAAGAAGGCCUUCGGGUUGUAAAGCUCUUUCAGCCGGAAAGAAAUCGCACUGGUUAAUACCUUGUGUGGAUGACGGUACCGGAAGAAGAAGCACCGGCUAACUACGUGCCAGCAGCCGCGGUAAUACGUAGGGUGCGAGCGUUAAUCGGAAUUACUGGGCGUAAAGCGUGCGCAGGCGGCUUUUUAAGCCAGAUGUGAAAUCCCCGGGCUUAACCUGGGAACUGCAUUUGGAACUGGAAGGCUAGAGUGUAGCAGAGGGGGGUAGAAUUCCACGUGUAGCAGUGAAAUGCGUAGAUAUGUGGAGGAAUACCGAUGGCGAAGGCAGCCCCCCUGGGCUAACACUGACGCUCAUGCACGAAAGCGUGGGGAGCAAACAGGAUUAGAUACCCUGGUAGUCCACGCCCUAAACGAUGUCAACUAGGUGUUGGGGAAGGAGACUUCUUUAGUACCGCAGCUAACGCGUGAAGUUGACCGCCUGGGGAGUACGGUCGCAAGAUUAAAACUCAAAGGAAUUGACGGGGACCCGCACAAGCGGUGGAUUAUGUGGAUUAAUUCGAUGCAACGCGAAAAACCUUACCUACCCUUGACAUGUCAGAAAGAUCGUAGAGAUAUAAUUGUGCCCGAAAGGGAAUCUGAACACAGGUGCUGCAUGGCUGUCGUCAGCUCGUGUCGUGAGAUGUUGGGUUAAGUCCCGCAACGAGCGCAACCCUUGUCAUUAAUUGCCAUCAUUUAGUUGGGCACUUUAAUGAGACUGCCGGUGAUAAACCGGAGGAAGGUGGGGAUGACGUCAAGUCCUCAUGGCCCUUAUGGGUAGGGCUUCACACGUAAUACAAUGGCGCGUACAGAGGGUUGCCAACCCGCGAGGGGGAGCUAAUCUCAGAAAGCGCGUCGUAGUCCGGAUUGUAGUCUGCAACUCGACUACAUGAAGUCGGAAUCGCUAGUAAUCGCGGAUCAGCAUGUCGCGGUGAAUACGUUCCCGGGUCUUGUACACACCGCCCGUCACACCAUGGGAGUGGAAUCUGCCAGAAGUAGGUGG